rnacentral:tRNA from 1 species
GUUAUUUUGGCAGAAAUUAUGUGUAGGAUUUAGGAUCCUAUAAAAUAGGUUUAUCCUAUA